rnacentral:rRNA from 1 species
AUUGAACGCUGGCGGCAGGCUUAACACAUGCAAGUCGAACGAGUGGCGGACGGGUGAGUAAUGCCUGGGAAACUGGCUUAUGGAGGGGGAUAACGACGGGAAACUGUCGCUAAUACCGCGUACCAUAGGAUGAGCCCAUGUGGGAUUAGGUAGUUGGUGGGGUAAGGGCCUACCAAGACGACGAUCAGUAGCGGGUCUGAGAGGAUGAUCCGCCACACUGGGACUGAGACACGGCCCAGGCUCCUACGGGAGGCAGCAGUGGGGAAUUUUUGACAAUGGGCGCAAGCCUGAUCCAGCCAGGCCACGUGUCUGAAGAAGGCCUUCGGGUUGUAAAGGACUUUUGUCAGGGAAGCGGUACCUGAAGAAGAAGCACCGGCUAACUACGUGCCAGCAGCCGCGGUAAUUC